rnacentral:ncRNA from 1 species
GACUAGUUUUGGCAAACCGCGGGAAACUGCGGGACGCAAAGCUAUAGGGGCUAAACACAACUGUGUAUGCCAGCCAGCUGCACCA